CGUAGACGAAAUGAUCGACGUUACCAAGGAGGUGAGGAAAUGCAGGGGGAUGCCAUCUUUCGCAGAAGUACUUUUCCGCACUUCCGUUUUAAUCUUAAAAAGUAACAGGGGAAAAUAAUAUUAAAGUGCUCUAUAUAUUUUGGAUAACAUGAUUUAAGAACUCACAAUGUCGUAAAGUGCAAUCUGGCUGCAAGUUCCUACUGUUGUCUUUAAUGCCGCUGCCGAUCCACCCUUGUACAAUGCCAUCCAGCCCUCUUCCUUGGGAAUCCGAAUGAGACCAUCAAAGACGUUCUUAUAGCUGAAAUCGUGGCGAGAGUAUCCCUAAGAUUGAUGGCGGUAAUUCAAAAGUUGGGUAAAAAUACUUGCGUCGCUGUUCCGGCGGCACCUUCAUAUCAGUCUGCAUGCGCACGUUAAUAAGAUCGGUUGGAAUUCCGCAGGCGGCACCACUAAUACCAGCUACGCAGCCCAAAACAAUUUUGCCCAGAUAUGAAUCCUCCUUGACGUACUCCAUCUGCUUGCCAGUUUCAUAUACCAUAAAAUGGAUAUUGGUGCUGGUCAUCUGUCGAAGGAUGGCAGCGGAAAAACCAUCAUAAAAACCUAAGAAUCCUGAAAACGAGAUUUAUUAUUGGCUGUGUGUUAUAUACCUUUAUAUAUCGUUAAUCGUAUCUUUUUUGCCUUUGGAUCUGCAUGUGCGUCUUCACGAUAUCGAUUGGGGCCACCGCACAGGCAACACAGAUCGAGGAGAAGCCACCGAACCACCAACGCGGAAGGCGUCCUUCUGGC